rnacentral:rRNA from 1 species
CAGCCGCCGCGGUAAUACGUAGGGUGCGAGCGUUAAUCGGAUUUACUGGGCGUAAAGCGUGCGCAGGCGGCCCGUUAAGACAGGUGUGAAAUCCCUGGGCUCAACCUAGGAAUUGCGCUUGUGACUGGCGGGCUCGAGUACGGUAGAGGGGGGUGGAAUUCCUUGUGUAGCAGUGAAAUGCGUAGAGAUCAGGAGGAACACCGAUGGCGAAGGCAGCCCCCUGGGCCUGUACUGACGCUCAUGCACGAAAGCGUGGGGAGCAAACAGGAUUAGAUACCCUGGUAGUCCACGCCCUAAACGAUGGGUACUAGCCGUUUGGUGCGCGAUAGCGCUGAGUGGCGAAGCUAACGCGUGAAGUACCCCGCCUGGGGAGUACGGCCGCAAGGUUGAAACUUAAAGGAAUUGGCGGG